rnacentral:rRNA from 1 species
UACGGAGGGUGCAAGCGUUUGUUCGGAUUUAUUGGGCGUAAAGCGCGUGUAGGCGGUUUCUUAAGUCUGAUGUGAAAGCCCCGGGCUCAACCCGGGAAGUGCACUCGAAACUUCUUUUCUUGAGUGCCGGAGAGGAAAGCGGAAUUCCUGGUGUAGAGGUGAAAAUUCGUAGAUAUCAGGAGGAACACCAGUGGCGAAGGCGGCUUUCUGGACGGUAACUGACGCUGAGACGCGAAAGCGUGGGGAGCAAACAGG